rnacentral:rRNA from 2 species
UACGUAGGGUCCGAGCGUUGUCCGGAAUUAUUGGGCGUAAAGAGCUCGUAGGCGGUUUGUCGCGUCUGCUGUGAAAUCCCGAGGCUCAACCUCGGGCCUGCAGUGGGUACGGGCAGACUUGAGUGCGGUAGGGGAGAAUGGAAUUCCUGGUGUAGCGGUGGAAUGCGCAGAUAUCAGGAGGAACACCGAUGGCGAAGGCAGUUCUCUGGGCCGUAACUGACGCUGAGGAGCGAAAGCGUGGGGAGCGAACAGG